rnacentral:rRNA from 1 species
GAACGUUGGCGGCGUGGAUUAGGCAUGCAAGUCGAGCGAUAAUUUUUGAAUUGAAACUUCGGUCGAGAUUCAGAAAGGACAGCGGCGAAAGGGAGAGUAACGAGUAGAUACGUACCCAGAGGAUCGGAAUAGCGGGGGGAAACCGCCGGUAAAGCCGAAUAAUGUCUCAGGACCAAAAAUUUAUUGCCUUUGGAUCGGUCUGCUUACUAUUAGCUUGUUGGUGGGGUAAUGGCCUACCAAGGCGAAGAUGGUUAGCGGGUGUGAGAGCAUGGCCCGUCUCACUGGGACUGAGAUACUGCCCAGACACCUACGGGUGGCUGCAGUCGAGAAUCUUCCGCAAUGGGGGAAACCCUGACGGAGCGACGCCGCGUGCGGGAUGAAGGCCUUCGGGUUGUAAACCGCUGUCAGAGGGGAGGAAAUUUUGACCGAUCCUCAGAGGAAGCACAGGCUAAAUUCGUGCCAGCAGCCGCGGUAAUACGAAUUGUGCGAACGUUAUUCGGAAUCACUGGGCUUAAAGGGUGCGUAGGCGGCAAUGAAGGUCUGAUGUGAAAUCCCACGGCUCAACCGUGGAAUGGCGUUGGAAACCACAUUGCUUGAGGAGAUCAGAGGUAAGCGGAACUGAUGGUGGAGCGGUGAAAUGCGUUGAUAUCAUCAGGAACACCGGUGGCGAAAGCGGCUUGCUGGGAUCUUUCUGACGCUGAGGCACGAAAGCCAGGGGAGUGAACGGGAUUAGAUACCCCGGUAAUCCUGGCCGUAAACGAUCAGUACUAGUCCG